rnacentral:lncRNA from 1 species
AGCUGAGAUUGCAGGCAUGAGCCACUGCACCUGGGCUGCCUAAAUUAAUUUUCUAGGGCCGCCAUAACAAAGUACUGCAGACUCGAUAGCUUAAGCUGCAGAGAUUUAUCUUCUCACAGCUCUGGAGGCUGGAAGUCAGAGGUCAACGUGUUGGCAAGGUUGGUGUCCUCUGAGGCCUCUGUCCUUGGCCUGCUAAUGGUGGCCUUCCUGCCACCUAUGUCUUCACAUGGUCUUGCCUUUGUGCAUGAGUGUGUCCUAAUCUUCUCUUAGUGGAUUAGGGCCCAUCCUGAUGACCUCAUUUUAACUUAGUCACCUCUUUAAAGCCCCUGUCUCCAAAUAAGGCCCCAUUCUGAGGUCCUGGGAGUUAGGGCUUCAGCACGUGGAUUUUGGAGGGAGACACAGUUCCACCCACAGCAUUACCCAUGUCUAUUUUGCCAGUGUGGAGUCAGUACAGGCUCCAGGACACAUCCACAGAGCACAGGCCACGUAGAGGGGAGCUCCUGUCUACAAGGAAAAGCUGGCAGAAAACCAACAAAGACAGCCUCUUGAUGGUGGUCUUCAAAAGAUGCAACAGGAUGCAAUGGCAGUUGACAAUGGGGUAACUGUUGGUUGUGAGAACCCUAAUCCUCUACCACAGGGAGGAGAAAGCUAACACCAAGUCCAACCCACAUCAACACGGGGGUGGGACACCCGUUAGGGGGCCAAGGCUGUAGUCCAGAAGAAAGGUGGAUGGAACUGGGGACAGAGCAGUAGCACAGGGAGAUGGGGGAGGAUGGGGUAAUUCAGAAUUUCCCUUUUUGAGAGUGGCAUCAACACAAUGUCAAAGUAGGAGUUCUCCGGCUUCUCUCCUCCCCAACAGAAUUUCAACUAGCAACAAUCCUGUGGCAAGUUUACCACCCUGAAUAUCCCAGAACUUGGAGUGAAGCUUUGCAUCCCCUGGGAUGGCAGAGCCAAGAAAAACCAUGAGGACGGAAGCACUGUGAGUACCGGCAGGGUCAGCCCAACAAGGGUCAGUAAGAACUUCCCUUUUCAAAAGAUAAAGCGGUUCACAUAGACAGCUGUGGUGGACUCUUUCUGCUGCCUGUCCAACAGACUUCUGCACAUUUCCUAAGGACAGAACCGCAUUUUUGUACUAGAGCAGAGAUUCCGUGACAUCAGGAGAAGAGGCCCUUCCCCCAAUCCCAGGAGCCAAUAAACUCAUUCUUCUUUGCAAUUGUACAAUGACAUGCACAGGGAAGUCUUCCUUUCCAGGGUAUAAAGCACCAUUAGGAGAAAGUUUUUGGUUUGCCUUGGCCCUUAUUUUUUGUUUUGGGGAUUUUGCGUGUGACAACAUCACUCCUGAGCUGUGGCAGCCAUCUUACCAUCAUGAGGAAACCGCCACGGGGAUAAAAAGCCAGUCCUCUGAGGACCUGGAAGAAAGGACAGAACCUGGCUCCCAAGGCAUCACUGAGACCCAAAUCAACAGUAAGUAAGCACAGCACCUACUCCUGGGCUUCUUUUUAUGAGAGAAAAAAAAAGUUCCCAUUUGUGUAAAUCAUA